AGAGUUUGAUCAUGGCUCAGGAUGAACGCUAGCGGCAGGCUUAAUACAUGCAAGUCGAGGGGCAGCGCGGGUAGCAAUACCUGGCGGCGACCGGCAAACGGGUGCGGAACACGUACACAACCUUCCCUUGAGGCGGGGGGAUAGCCCAGAGAAAUUUGGAUUAAUACCCCAUAAGAUAUUGUCCCGGCAUCGGGAAGAUAUUAAAGAUUUAUCACCUUAGGAUGGGUGUGCGUAUGAUUAGGUAGUUGGUGCGGGUAACGGCCCACCAAGCCAUCGAUCAUUAACUGGUGUGAGAGCACGACCAGUCACACGGGCACUGAGACACGGGCCCGACUCCUACGGGAGGCAGCAGUAAGGAAUAUUGGUCAAUGGACGGAAGUCUGAACCAGCCAUGCCGCGUGAAGGAUGACGGCCCUCUGGGUUGUAAACUUCUUUUAUCUGGGACGAAAAAGGGCCAUUCUUGGUCAACUGACGGUACCAGAGGAAUAAGCACCGGCUAACUCCGUGCCAGCAGCCGCGGUAAUACGGAGGGUGCAAGCGUUAUCCGGAUUUACUGGGUUUAAAGGGAGCGCAGGCGGAUUGGUAAGUCAGUGGUGAAAUACCCGUGCUUAACAUGGGAACUGCCAUUGAUACUAUCAGUCUUGAAUGUUGUUGAGGUUUGCGGAAUGGCAUGUAGCGGUGAAAUGCAUAGAUAUGACCCGGAACACCUAUUGCGAAGGCAGCAGGCUAAACAAAUAUUGACGCUGAGGCUCGAAAGCGUGGGGAUCAAACAGGAUUAGAUACCCUAGUAGUCC
rnacentral:rRNA from 1 species